ACAUUUAAGAAAAUCAGAAUUUCAGUAGACUCCUCGUGCAGUCUGAGGAGGCAGUUUCCUAUCUGGUUUGACUUAAGGGGCUGCAGAAGACAUUCUUAUCCCACAUAUUUCUUCUGCUGAUCAGUCAGCAACUGAAAUUCCAACUAAUGGAUUCCAUUCUUCCAGUUAAGACAUCAUCUCCAGAAAACUGUGCUAGUUGGCAUCCAGCAGUGCCCAAGUAUUAUUUAACCCACUAGAACCUGUGACUGCAUCAGCUUUAUAUCCUGGACCUCAGCCUGGAACAAAGGAGAGCUACACUUGGAUACUAAACACAAGUGGUCUGGAUAGAUUAUGCUGGGAAAAGAAGCCUGGAGCAGGCAGUACAGUGGGAGAACAAGGAGAGAAUGGAGUUGCAGCAGACUGCUCAGGAAUUGUACAUCACCAGUAGCUUCUGUCUCAGCUAAGUGUGGGAGACUGAUACUGAUGAGCCAUUAACAAUGGUGGAGAUUCUGAAUCACUGAAGCACUUGAUAAAAGAAAUGUCGUGGGUGAUGUGAAAAUCUACAUAUGCCCAUGAGAGUAUAUUGAGUUUGUAAGUGUUGUUGCUUAGUGUGUCACAGAGAAGUUUAUAAGAAACUAUUUUGGAGUAAGAAACAACACAGAAGAACACAGUUUCAGCCUGAAAUGGCUUAUUUAGCCACUGACCAUCAGAAACAAUUACUUUUUACCUUAACCUAGAUUUGUAAUAGCAGGAUGCAUUGAAUUCCUUCAUUGAAGUGAAACCUUAGCAAAUCUUUAAGUAGUACUCUAAAGUGACAAAAGGUGUUUACAUUUACUAAUGUAAAUUUCUUGUGGAGAUAAAGUUUUUAUUCUUCUUGGGUCUCAAGACUGCUCAAGAAGGAACCAUCGUUUGUUCUACACUGCUCUGUUCUAAAUGUUUGUUCCCCCAAUAUUCAUAUGUUGAAAUUCUAACCCCCAAGGAGAUAGUAUUAGGAGGUGGGGCCUUCGGGACAUGAUAAGGUCAUGAGGAUGAAGCCCUCAAGAAUAAGAUUCAUUGCCUUAUAAAGAAAAACCAGAAAGAUCCCUCAUUUCUUCAAUCAUAAGAAGACACAUGAGCAAGAAGACGGCCAGCUAUGAAGCAGGUCGUGGGCCCUCGCCAGACACUGAAUCUGCCAACACUUUGAUCUUGGAUUUCCUAGCCUGCAGAACUACAGAAGUGCUUGCCUUGGUGAUCCAAAAAAGGCAGGAUCCGGCCGGGGGCAAGGUGAUUAUUCUGUCUGAUGAGGAGAAUAAGAGCCAGUUUGUGGUAUUGACAGAAGAAUGAAAGUAAAGAUGUAUAAGGAGACCAUUUUAUUCUCAAGUAAUAAAGUUAAUGAAUCUGAUUUCAAAUAAUAUCUUUAAAAUGAAAAUGCUCAUAGAAGGAGUUAGGAAAGUUCAAUCAAAAUUGUCAAUAAGAGAAGAUUUCUACUUCUGAGAAGAUGGAGUAGACAUACAUCUACAAAACGGAUAGACCUUAAAAGAGAAAUAGACAAGACUACAAUUAUACUUCAAGGUUUCAACAUCCCUUUCUCAGCAACUGACAGAACUGAACAAAAAUUCAGCAAGGAUAUAGAAGAAUCAACAACACCAUCAAUCCACAGACUCAAAUGAACAUUUGUAGAAUACUGCCCCCCCAACAGCAGAUUACACAUUCUUUUCAAGCACUCAGGGAAUAUAUAUCAAUAUAGACUGUAUCCUAGGCAAUAAAACAAAAGACAACACAUUUAUAAUAAUUGAAAUUACAUAAAGUGUAUCCUCUGAUCACAAUGGAAUCAACCUGGAUACCAGCAGCAAAAA
ensembl:lncRNA LINC01013 long intergenic non-protein coding RNA 1013